rnacentral:rRNA from 1 species
GUGGGGAAUCUUCCGCAAUGGACGAAAGUCUGACGGAGCAACGCCGCGUGAGUGAAGAAGGUUUUCGGAUCGUAAAGCUCUUUCGUUAGGGACGAACGUGCUCUUUGUGAAUAAUGAGGAGUAAUGACGGUACCUAAAUAAGAAGCCACGGCUAACUACGUGCCAGCAGCCGCGGUAAUACGUAGGUGGCAAGCGUUGUCCGGAAUUAUUGGGCGUAAAGCGCGCGCAGGCGGGAUAUCAAGUCUGUCUUAAAAGUGCGAGGCUCAACCUCGUGAGGGGACAGAAACUGGUAUUCUUGAGUGUCGGAGAGGAAAGUGGAAUUCCGAGUGUAGCGGUGAAAUGCGUAGAGAUUUGGAAAAACACCAGUGGCGAAGGCGACUUUCUGGACGAUGUCUGACGCUGAGGCGCGAAAGCUAGGGGAGCGAACGGGAUUAGAAACCCCGGUAGUCC